GAUGAACGCUGGCGGUAUGCUUAACACAUGCAAGUCGAACGAAGUACGAAAGUACUGAGUGGCGGACGGGUGAGUAACGCGUGAGAACCUGCCUUUUAGACGGGGACAACAGUGGGAAACGACUGCUAAUACCCGAUGAGCCGAAAGGUAAAAGAUUAAUCGCUAAAAGAGGGGCUCGCGUCCGAUUAGCUAGUUGGUGGGGUAAAGGCUUACCAAGGCAGCGAUCGGUAGCUGGUCUGAGAGGACGAGCAGCCACACUGGGACUGAGACACGUCCCAGACCCCUACGGGAGGCAGCAGUGGGGAAUUUUCCGCAAUGGGAGAAAGCCUGACGGAGCAAUACCGCGUGAGGGAGGAAGGCUUUUGGGUUGUAAACCUCUUUUCUCAAGGAAGAACAAAAUGACGGUACUUGAGGAAUCAGCAUCGGCUAACUCCGUGCCAGCAGCCGCCGUAAGAC
rnacentral:rRNA from 1 species